rnacentral:rRNA from 1 species
CUUAGAGUUUGAUCCUGGCUCAGGACGAACGCUGGCGGCGCGCCUAACACAUGCAAGUCGAACGGAGCUGAGAGGAGCUUGCUUUUCUUAGCUUAGUGGCGAACGGGUGAGUAACACGUGGGUUACCUACCUCUAAGAUGGGGAUAACAGUUGGAAACGACUGAUAAUACCGAAUGUGCUCUACGGAGUAAAGAAGCCCUUAAAGCUUCGCUUAGAGAUGGGCCUGCGGCGUAUUAGCUAGUUGGUGGGGUAAUGGCCUACCAAGGCGACGAUGCGUAGCCGAACUGAGAGGUUGAUCGGCCACACUGGGACUGAGACACGGCCCAGACUCCUACGGGAGACAGCAGUUAGGAAUAUUCGUCAAUGGAGGAAACUCUGAACGAGCAAUGCCGCGUGAACGAUGACGGCCCUAUGGGUUGUAAAGUUCUGUUGUUUGGAAAGAACGAUAGAUAGAGGAAAUGCUAUCUAUGUGACGGUACCAUUCAAGAAAGCCACGGCUAACUACGUGCCAGCAGCCGCGGUAAUACGUAGGUGGCGAGCGUUAUCCGGAUUUAUUGGGCGUAAAGGGUGCGCAGACGGUUUAUUAAGUCUAAAAUCAAAUCUUGGGGCUCAACCCCAUUCCGUUUUAGAAACUGGUAGACUUGAGUAUGGUAGAGGCAAAUGGAAUUCCUAGUGUAGCGGUGGAAUGCGUAGAUAUUAGGAGGAACACCAGUGGCGAAGGCGAUUUGCUGGGCCAUUACUGACGUUCAGGCACGAAAGCGUGGGGAGCAAAUAGGAUUAGAUACCCUAGUAGUCCACGCCGUAAACGAUGAGUACUAAGUGUCGGGUUACCGGUGCUGAAGUUAACACAUUAAGUACUCCGCCUGAGUAGUACGGUCGCAAGGCUGAAACUCAAAUGAAUUGACGGA